rnacentral:rRNA from 1 species
GGGCGAAAGCCUGAUGGAGCAACGCCGCGUGAGUGAAGAAGGAUUUCGGUUCGUAAAACUCUGUUGUAAGGGAAGAACAAGUACAGUAGUAACUGGCUGUACCUUGACGGUACCUUAUUAGAAAGCCACGGCUAACUACGUGCCAGCAGCCGCGGUAAUACGUAGGUGGCAAGCGUUGUCCGGAAUUAUUGGGCGUAAAGCGCGCGCAGGUGGUUUCUUAAGUCUGAUGUGAAAGCCCACGGCUCAACCGUGGAGGGUCAUUGGAAACUGGGAGACUUGAGUGCAGAAGAGGAUAGUGGAAUUCCAAGUGUAGCGGUGAAAUGUGUAGAGAUUUGGAGGAACACCAGUGGCGAAGGCGACUAUCUGGUCUGUAACUGACACUGAGGCGCGAAAGCGUGGGGAGCAAACAGGAUUAGAUACCCUGGUAGUCCACGCCGUAAACGAUGAGUGCUAAGUGUUAGGGGGUUUCCGCCCCUUAGUGCUGCAGCUAACGCAUUAAGCACUCCGCCUGGGGAGUACGGUCGCAAGACUGAAACU